GUGGGGAAUCUUGCGCAAUGGGCGAAAGCCUGACGCAGCCAUGCCGCGUGAAUGAUGAAGGUCUUAGGAUUGUAAAAUUCUUUCACCGGGGACGAUAAUGACGGUACCCGGAGAAGAAGCCCCGGCUAACUUCGUGCCAGCAGCCGCGGUAAUACGAAGGGGGCUAGCGUUGCUCGGAAUUACUGGGCGUAAAGGGAGCGUAGGCGGAUAGUUCAGUCAGAGGUGAAAGCCCAGGGCUCAACCUUGGAAUUGCCUUUGAUACUGGCUGUCUUGAGUAUGGGAGAGGUUAGCGGAACUCCGAGUGUAGAGGUGAAAUUCGUAGAUAUUCGGAAGAACACCAGUGGCGAAGACGGCUAACUGGCCCAUUACUGACGCUGAGGCUCGAAAGCGUGGGGAGCAAACAGGAUUAGAAACCCCUGUAGUCC
rnacentral:rRNA from 1 species